UACAGGGGGGGCAAGCGUUGUUCGGAAUCACUGGGCGUAAAGGGCGCGUAGGCGGCUGUUCAAGUCGGGGGUGAAAUCCCGUGGCUCAACCACGGAAUGGCCUUCGAUACUGGACGGCUCGAGACCGGAAGAGGUGAGUGGAACUGCGAGUGUAGAGGUGAAAUUCGUAGAUAUUCGCAAGAACACCAGUGGCGAAGGCGGCUCACUGGUCCGGUUCUGACGCUGAGGCGCGAAAGCGUGGGGAGCAAACAGG
rnacentral:rRNA from 1 species